UGUUGACAAAAAUCAAUGCUUGGGAUAUCCCUGCCCUAUUCAAUGGUGGCCUUAAUGACGUUUCAAAGUAGUACUGUUCUUUAUCAGAUCAGAAGUCCUUCUAGACUCAAAACACUUCUGAGUUUGUCCGUCCGUUAUGACCAGGAUGUUUAAUGAAGGUAGUAAAGAAAAUAAUACAGACACCUGGUUUGUUUUAGACAACUGUAUGUUCUCUCCUUACUGUAAACUACUACAACACCAACAAUUGUUACAUACACAAAAGAGCCUCCAAGACAACCAAGCAAUUAUUUAACAGUUACAAAAAGAACUGAUCAAUAUAUAUUGCUGUCAUUUUUGUUAUGAAAUUAUUCAAUAAUUAAAAUUAAAAGCCCUUCUUUCUUUUUUUGUAACUACACAAUUCUUUUAUUAUUUUUUCUCAUGUAGAAAAACUAGAGGCUCUCAAGAGCCUGUGUCGCUCACCUGUAUUUACUGAUGCUUUGGAAAUCAUGUAAAAUAAGGUUAAAAUCAUAAUUAAUAGUAUUAGAUAUUAGAUAUUAUAAUGAUAUCUAAGAUAAUAACAAAAAACUGCAAAAACUCAGGGGCAGCAACCCAACAACAGGUUGUCGGAUUUGUCUGAAAAUUUCAGGGCAGAUAAAUCUAAAUCUGAUGAACAUUUUUGCCACCUGUCAGAUAUGCUCUAAAUGCUUUAGUUUCAGAGAUAUAAACCAAAAACUGCAUUUUACCCCUAUGUUCUAUUUUUAACCAAGUCGGCCAUGAUGGUUGGAAGGCGGGGUCAUCGGACAAAUUUUUUAAACUAGAUACCCUAAUAAUGAUUAUGGCCAAGUAUGGUUAAAUUUGUCUCAGUAGUUUCAGAGAAGGAAGAUUUUGGUAAAAGAUUACAAAAAUUUACAAAAAAUUGUUAAAAAUUGACUAUUAAGGGCAAUAACUCCUAAAGGGGUCGACUGACAAUUUUGGUCAUGACAACUUAUUUGUAGAUCUUACUUUGCUGAACAUUAUUGCUGUUUACAGUUUAUCUCUAUCUAUAAUAAUAUUCAAGAUAAUAACCAAAAACUGCAAAAUUUCCUUAAAAUUACCAAUUCAGGGGCAGCAACCCAAACAGGUUGUCAGAUUUGUCUGAAAAUUUCAGGGCAGAUAGAUCUUGACCUGUUUAUCAGUUUUACCCAAGUCAGAUUUACUCUAAAUGCUUUGGUUUCAGAGAUAUAAGCCAAAAUCUACAUUUUACCCCUAUGUUCUAUUUUUAGCCAUGGCGGCCAUCUUGGUUGGUUGGCGGGGUCAUCGGACACAUUUUUUAAACUAGACACCUUAAUGAUGAUUGUGACCAAGUUUGGUUAAAUUUGGCCCAGUGGUUUCAGAGGAGAAGAUUUUUAAAAAGGUACAUAGCUACAAAAAAGCUAACGACGACGGACACCAAGUGAUGAGAAAAGCUCACUUGGCCCUUCGGGCCAGGUGAGCUAAAAAAGUAAAACAAGCAUUCUGAGAGUAUUGCAUGGCAAUACAUGGUCCCCUACCGGUUGAAAAUUCAUUGUACAGAAACAAAAUGCUAAAUUAAUCUAUAACUUGUCAUGGUGUAAACUAUAUAACAAAUAUCAAGUCAAUAUCUUCAAGCAUGACGAAAAUAGUGUGGAAAACUGAUUAUUUAAGUGAAUUUUCUAAGUCCAAGGACCAUAUCUCUAAACAAAAUCAUCAGAUCGGAACAAAAUUCGAACUUGAUCUGUAACUUGUCAUGAUAAAACUAUAUACCAAUUAUCAAAUCAAUAUCUUUUAGCAUUAUUUGAGGGAAUUUUCUAAGUCCAAGGACCAUAACUCUGCACAAAAUCAUCAGACCGGAUACAAAUUCAAACUUGAUCUGUAACUUGUCAUGAUAAAACUAUAUACCAAUUAUCAAAUCAAUAUCUUCAAGCAUGACUAAAAUAAAAUGCUCCGCUGGGUGCAGCUUGAUACGACCGCAGAGGUCGAACCCUGAACAGUUGGGGCAAGUAUGGACACAACAUUCAAGCUUGAUACAGCUCUGAAUUUGGAUUGUGAUUAAAUAUUUGACACAGCAUAGGUUUCUGACACAGAAAGAAUGUGGUCUAAGAACUUGAAUUUUUUUAAUUUACCUAUUAUGGUCCAAUGUCCAAAAUCAAAAUACAUGGUUAGAUUCAGCAUAUCAAAGAACCCCAUAUAUUCAAUUUUUGUUAAAAUCAAACAAAGUUUAAUUUUGGACCCCAACUUGGACAAACUUGAAAACUGGGCCCAUAAUCAAAAAUCUAAACACAUGUUUAGAUUCAGCAUAUCAAAGAACCCCAAGAAUUCAAUUUUUGCUAAAAUCAAACUAAGUUUAAUUUUGGACCCUUUGGACCUUAAUGUAGACCAAUUUAAAAAACGGGACUUAAAAUUAAAAAUCUAAAUACACGGUUAGAUUUGGAAUAUCAAAGAACCCCAAUAAUUCAAUUUUUGAUGAAAUCAAACAAAGUUUAAUUUUGGACCCUUUUGACCUCAAUAUGAACCAAUUUGAUAGCGGGGCCCACAAAUAAAAAAUCUAAAUUCAUGGUUAGAUUCAGCAUAUCAAAGAACCCCAUAUAUUCAAUUUUUGUUGAAAUCAAAAAAAGUUUAAUUUUGGACCACAACUUGGACCAACUUGAAAACUGGGCCCAUAAUCAAAAAUCUAAACACAUGUUUAGAUUCAGCAUAUCAAAAAACCCCAAGAAUUCAAUUUUUGUUAAAAUCAAACUAAGUUUAAUUUUGGACCCUUUGGACCUCAAUGAAGAACAAUUUAAAAAACGGGACCCAAAUUAAACAUCUAAAAACACGGUUAGAUUUAGCAUAUCAAAGAACCCCAAUAAUUCAAUUUUUGAUGAAAUCAAACAAAGUUUAAUUUUGGAACCUUUUGACCUCAAUAUGAACAAAUUUGAUAGCGGGGCCUACAAAUAAAAAAUCUAAAUACAUGGUUAGAUUCAGCAUAUCAAAGAACCUCAUAUAUUCAAUUUUUGUUGAAAUUAAACAAAGUUUAAUUUUGGACCCCAAUUUGGACCAACUUGAAAACUGGGCCCAUAAUCAAAAAUCUAAAUACAUGUUUAGAUUCAGCAUAUCAAAGAACCCAUAUAUUCAAUUUUUGUUGAAAUCAAACAAAGUUUAAAUACUGGACCCUAUCUUGGACCAACUUGAAAACUGGGCCCAUAAUCAAAAAUCUAAACACAUGUUUAGAUUCAGCAUAUCAAAGAACCCCAAGAAUUCAAUUUUUGUUAAAAUCAAACUAAGUUUAAUUUUGGACCCUUUGGACCUUAAUGUAGACCAAUUUAAAAAACAGGACCCAAAAUUAAAAAUCUAAAUACACGGUUAGAUUCGGAAUAUCAAAGAGCCCCAAUAAUUCAAUUUUAGAUGAAAUCAAACAAAGUUUAAUUUUGGACCCUUUUGACCUCAAUAUGAACCAAUUUGAUAACGGGGUCCACAAAUAAAAAAUCUAAAUACAUGGUUAGAUUCAGCAUAUCAAAGAACCCCAUAUAUUCAAUUUUUGUUGAAAUCAAACAAAGUUUAAUUUUGGACCCCAAUUUGGACCAACUUGAAAACUGGGCCAAAAAUCAAAAAUCUAAAUACAUGUUUAGAUUCAGCAUAUCAAAGAACCUCAUAUGUUCAAUUUUUGCUAAAAUCAAUCAAAGUUUAAUUUUGGACCCUUUGGACCUUAAUGUAGACUAUUUUGAAAACUGGACCCAAAAUUAAAAAUCUAAAUACACUGUUAAAUUCGGCAUAACAAAUAAAUAAAUGUGAUCAAAGAUUUUACAAAUCUAAUGCGCCAUACUGUGCAAUUAAAGAUUACUUCUUGAAAA